rnacentral:rRNA from 1 species
CCUACGGGAGACAGCAGUGGGGAAUAUUGCACAAUGGGGGAAACCCUGAUGCAGCGACGCCGCGUGAGUGAAGAAGUAUCUCGGUACGUAAAGCUCUAUCAGCAGGGAAGAAAAUGACGGUACCUGACUAAGAAGCCCCGGCUAACUACGUGCCAGCAGCCGCGGUAAUACGUAGGGGGCAAGCGUUAUCCGGAUUUACUGGGUGUAAAGGGAGCGUAGACGGCAGCACAAGUCUGGAGUGAAAUCCCGGGGCUUAACCCCGGAACUGCUUCGGAAACGGGGCGGCUGGAGUGCAGGGGGGGUAAGCGGAAUUCCUAGGGUAGCGGUGAAAUGCGUAGAUAUUAGGAGGAACACCGGUGGCGAAGGCGGCUUACGGGACUGUAACUGACGUUGAGGCUCGAAGGCGUGGGGAGCAAACAGGAUUAGAUACCCGAGUAGUC